rnacentral:rRNA from 1 species
UACGAAGGGUGCAAGCGUUAAUCGGAAUUACUGGGCGUAAAGGGUGCGUAGGCGGUUAGUUAAGUCUGUUGUGAAAUCCCCGGGCUCAACCUGGGAAUGGCAAUGGAUACUGGCAGGCUGGAGUAUGGUAGAGGAAGGUGGAAUUCCCGGUGUAGCAGUGAAAUGCGUAGAGAUCGGGAGGAACACCAGUGGCGAAGGCGGCCUUCUGGACCAAUACUGACGCUCAUGCACGAAAGCGUGGGGAGCAAACAGG